ensembl:snRNA U6 U6 spliceosomal RNA
GUGCUCACUUUGGCAGCACAUAUACUAAAAUCAGAAUGAUUCAGAGAUUAGCCUGGCCCCUGUGGAAGAAUGACAUGCAAAAUCUCAUGGAAUUUGCUGCCUGG